GGACAGGAUUCCAUCAGGUUGUUAUCAAGUUGAACCCAAAUGAAGACUUGCAAGAAAAAAUAGUAGAUCAGCUUGCUAUUUACAAGGCAGCUGAAGGACUUUUUAAGCUUCGACUUGCUAUUAAACAAAGAACGACGAAGUCACCAGGUGACCAAGUGUUUCUAUAUUUUAUAGCUCUAACUUCAAUGUAUUCUUUAUACUUAUUAACUCUUGAACAUUUUUUUUUUGACUUCUAUAGUUGAAUGGUGGGACCAAUAUGGUGUAGAGACUCCGGAGCUACAGGCUUUCGCCAUCAAAGUUCUAAGCUUAACUUGUAGCUCAUCCGGAUGUGAAAGGAACUGGAGUGGUUUUGAACACAUUCAUACAAAGAAGAGGAAUCGACUAACCUUGAAGCGCCUCCAUAAUCUAGUGUUCAUAAAAUACAAUAGAGCAUUGAGGCGUCGCUACAACCACCGCAAUCUAAUUGAUCCAAUUCUUUUGGACAAUAUUGAUGAGGCUAAUGAGUGGCUAACCGGAGUCCCCGAAAAUUGUGAAGAUGAAGAAGUAUUUGAAGGCGACUCCGAUUUCACUUGGGGUGAUGUUGCGGUUGGUAGUGGAGUUGGGGAAGAUCCUUAUGGUUUAAGGAGAUAUACUCCAAGUUCAAGCUCUAUUAGGAAGGG